UACGAAGGGGGCUAGCGUUGUUCGGAAUCACUGGGCGUAAAGGGCGCGUAGGCGGCUUUGUAAGUCGGGGGUGAAAGCCUGUGGCUCAACCACAGAAUUGCCUUCGAUACUGCAUGGCUUGAGACCGGAAGAGGUAAGUGGAACUGCGAGUGUAGAGGUGAAAUUCGUAGAUAUUCGCAAGAACACCAGUGGCGAAGGCGGCUUACUAAGCUUUAACUGACACUGAGGCACGAAAAGUGUGGGGGAUCAAACAGG
rnacentral:rRNA from 1 species